AAAAAGGUAAGCUAAUUUAAGCUAAUGGGCUCAUAACCCAUUUAUGAAUUUUUUCUCUUUUUA
rnacentral:tRNA from 1 species